UGGCGGCCCAACGUUGGGCUUGAGAAUGGGGGAUCCAGUGAAGGAUGCUGUUUGAGAGGCCAGCACAAAAACGGGAUGGAGAAAAUUCUGAGAAUAGAGGAAAAUACUAUAAGGAAGCCUGCUGCAUUUUCUGAACCUCGGUAAGUGAACAGCAAUUAUGGGAUAAGAAAUGAGCCAGCAUGAGAUUUUUUUGUUGAAAGACUAGGAAAGGCUUUAAUGACACAAGGAGUAAAAGUUAAAAUUAAGCAAUUGAGUCAAUAUCUUGGUUUUAUAAAGGAAGUUUGUCCUU
rfam:Cavia porcellus supercont2_57 genomic scaffold, whole genome shotgun sequence.